rnacentral:RNase_P_RNA from 1 species
CUUUUAUUCGGCUCUAUCGCUGUCCGCCAGCUGGCGGAGAGAGGAAAGUCGGGGCAGUAUCGAGCACCAUACUUCCUAACAGGAAGGAUCCGUCAGCUGGCGGAGACAGAAAGUGCCGCAGAAAAUAACCGCCCUCCGUAGCUUUAGCGAAGGAGGGCAAGGGUGAAAACGUGAGGUAAGAGCUCACGAUGCCAAUUGGCGACAGUUGGGAUGGGUAAACCUUAUGGACUGAAAGACCAAAUAAACUCCGGUGAUCGCCGUUUAGGUGGUUGAAGGCUUGCUCAGCCAAAAUUAUCCGGAAAGGGUAGGUUGUUUGAGCUUAAGGGUGACCUUAAGUCUAGAGAAAUGAUAGAGGUCCGAGCAAUCGGAUUACAGGAUCCCGCUUAUACGUAUGAAAGCUUU